CGGCGGACGGGUGAGUAACGCGUGGGUAACCUGCCUUACACUGGGGGAUAACAGUUAGAAAUGACUGCUAAUACCGCAUAAGCGCACAGGGCUGCAUGGCCUGGUGUGAAAAACUCCGGUGGUGUAAGAUGGACCCGCGUCUGAUUAGGUAGUUGGUGGGGUAACGGCCCACCAAGCCGACGAUCAGUAGCCGACCUGAGAGGGUGACCGGCCACAUUGAGACUGAGACACGGCCCAA
rnacentral:rRNA from 1 species